rnacentral:rRNA from 1 species
AUACGGAGGAUGCGAGCGUUAUCCGGAUUUAUUGGGUUUAAAGGGAGCGUAGGCGGGAGCUUAAGUCAGCGGUUAAAUGGUGCGGCUCAACCGUGCCCUGCCGUUGAAACUGGGUUUCUUGAGAGUGCAAGAGGCGGAUGGAAUUCAUGGUGUAGCGGUGAAAUGCUUAGAUAUCAUGAAGAACUCCGAUUGCGAAGGCAGUCCGCUGGGGCACGUCUGACGCUGAUGCUCGAAGGUGCGGGAAUCAAACAGGAUUAGAUACCCCGGUAGUCCGCACGGUAAACGAUGAUUACCCGCUGUCGGCGGUAGACAGUCGGCGGCCAAGCGAAAGCGAUAAGUAAUCCACCUGGGGAGUACGCCGGCAACGGUGAAACUCAAAGGAAUUGACGGGG